GGGCACCUACGGGACGCAGCAGUGGGGAAUAUUGCACAAUGGGGGAAACCCUGAUGCAGCGACGCCGCGUGAGCGAAGAAGUAUCUCGGUAUGUAAAUCUCUAUCAGCAGGGAAGAAGAUGACGGUACCUGACCAAGAAGCUCCGGCUAAAUACGUGCCAGCAGCCGCGGUAAUACGUAUGGAGCAAGCGUUAUCCGGAUUUACUGGGUGUAAAGGGAGCGCAGGCGGCCUUGCAAGUCUGAUGUGAAAGGCCGG
rnacentral:rRNA from 1 species